CCGGACAUAGCUCAGUUGGAAGUAGCGAUGGUUUGUAAUGGCAACCCUAAUCCGGUAUUCAACGGAAUUUCACCAUAGGUCGCCGGUUCGAUUCCGGCUGUCCGGA